GACGAACCGUCCAAACGUUAUUCGGAAUCACUGGGCUUAAAGGGUGCGUAGGCGGCGCGGAAAGUUGGGUGUGAAAUCCCUCGGCUCAACCGAGGAACUGCGCCCAAAAACUACCGUGCUCGAGGAAGAUAGAGGUGAGCGGAACUUAGGGUGGAGCGGUGAAAUGCGUUGAUAUCCUAAGGAACACCGGUGGCGAAAGCGGCUCACUGGAUCUUUUCUGACGCUGAGGCACGAAAGCUAGGGUAGCGAACGGG
rnacentral:rRNA from 1 species